rnacentral:rRNA from 1 species
UACAGAGGUCCCAAGCGUUGUUCGGAUUCACUGGGCGUAAAGGGUGCGUAGGCGGUCGGGUAAGUCUGAUGUGAAAUCUCACAGCUUAACUGUGAAACUGCAUUGGAUACUAUUCAGCUAGAGAGUUGGAGGGGGGACUGGAAUUCUUGGUGUAGCAGUGAAAUGCGUAGAUAUUCGCAAGAACACCAGUGGCGAAGGCGGCUCACUGGCCCAUAACUGACGCUGAGGCACGAAAGCGUGGGGAGCAAACAGG